rnacentral:rRNA from 1 species
AGUGAACGCUGGCGGUAGGCCUAACACAUGCAAGUCGAGCGGCAGCACAGUAAGAGCUUGCUCUUACGGGUGGCGAGUGGCGGACGGGUGAGGAAUACAUCGGAAUCUACUUUUUCGUGGGGGAUAACGUAGGGAAACUUACGCUAAUACCGCAUACGACCUACGGGUGAAAGCAGGGGAUCUUCGGACCUUGCGCGAUUGAAUGAGCCGAUGUCGGAUUAGCUAGUUGGCGGGGUAAAGGCCCACCAAGGCGACGAUCCGUAGCUGGUCUGAGAGGAUGAUCAGCCACACUGGAACUGGGACACGGUCCAGACUCCUACGGGAGGCAGCAGUGGGGAAUAUUGGACAAUGGGCGCAAGCCUGAUCCAGCCAUACCGCGUGGGUGAAGAAGGCCUUCGGGUUGUAAAGCCCUUUUGUUGGGAAAGAAAAGCAGCAGGUUAAUACCCCGCUGUUCUGACGGUACCCAAAGAAUAAGCACCGGCUAACUUCGUG